GAGUGCUCAAGCAGGCUUUCGCCUUGAUAGUUUAGCAUGGAAUAAUAAAGUAGGACUUUGGUUCUAUUUUGUUGGUUUUAGGUACCAAAGUAAUGGUUAAUAGGAACAGUUGGGGGCAUUCGUAUUUAACUGUCAGAGGUGAAAUUCUUAGA
rnacentral:rRNA from 1 species